rnacentral:tRNA from 1 species
UGUGGCUCAGUGGUAGAGCACUUGCCUAACAUGUGAGAGGUACUGGGUUCAAUUCUCAGCA